GUCCUAGCUAUCCUUCUAGACAACCUAUUUCCCACCUCCUCUGGGGACCUCUGAGGGUUAACUUUAUGUAUAAAUGUGAUACGGCUAAAGGAUGCCCAGAUUGCUCAUGAAAUAUUAUUUCAGGGUGUUUCCAGAAGAGGUUAGCUUUGGAAUUGGAGACUGAGUGGAGAAUAUGCCUCACCAAUCCACUGGAGCCAUCCCAGAAGACCUGACAGAGUUCCCAACAGCUGGGGCAACGAGUCCUUCAGAAGGAGGAUCUGGUGCUGCAGUGCCCUGACCCCACGAUUUGACUCAUGGCUCUCACCUCCCCCACCUGCUCCAAGCACAGUCCCUGGAGAGAAGGAAACAUAGAGACUGAGCCAACCCUGUAUCCUUUGCUUCCCUUCUCCCACCCUCAACAACCUCCAAGUGCCGCCUACAGACCCCAGGGCUAGCUGAGUUCAGAGGCUGUCUAUAAACUGGGGAGGCUGGGGGUCAGGGUUCCCUGCAUGGCCUCCUAAUGCCGGCCCUCAGGGAGCAGAUACUGCUUCCAGGACGGG
ensembl:lncRNA